rnacentral:rRNA from 1 species
UGCGUAGGCGGAUUAAUAAGUCAGUGGUGAAAUCUUCCAGCUUAACUGGGAAACUGCCAUUGAUACUGUUAAUCUUGAGUGUACUUGAAGUGGGCGGAAUAAGUCAUGUAGCGGUGAAAUGCAUAGAUAUGACUUAGAACACCAAUUGCGUAGGCAGCUCACUAAAUUACAACUGACGCUGAGGCACGAAAGCGUGGGUAGCAAACA